GACGUAGGUGGCAAGCGUUGUCCGGAAUUAUUGGGCGUAAAGCGCGCGCAGGCGGUCCUUUAAGUCUGAUGUGAAAGCCCACGGCUCAACCGUGGAGGGUCAUUGGAAACUGGGGGACUUGAGUGCAGAAGAGGAGAGUGGAAUUCCACGUGUAGCGGUGAAAUGCGUAGAGAUGUGGAGGAACACCAGUGGCGAAGGCGACUCUCUGGUCUGUAACUGACGCUGAGGCGCGAAAGCGUGGGGAGCAAACAGG
rnacentral:rRNA from 1 species